rnacentral:lncRNA from 1 species
NNNNNNNNNNNNNNNNNNNNNNNNNNNNNNNNNNNNNNNNNNNAAAAAAAAAAAAUUAGCCAGGCAUGGUGGUGGGUGCCUGUAAUCCCAGCUACUUGGGAGGCUGAAUGGCAGAGUCAUGUUUCCUGACCUCAACUCCUCCAUUCUCCUUCCUUAAAAAGGGGGUCCCAAAGGUACUUUCUGAACUUUAGUAACCUUUGUGCUUAAAAUUAGAAAGUAAAAGAAACACCUGAGGAUCAAACAAAUUCAACACAUGAAAAUUAGUAACUUUUACUAUAUUUUGAGCAAGAAAUGUGUAAGAUCUCUGUGAAAAAAAAAACCAUUAACAUUCAUAGAACAAUAUGUCCUGUUCUUGGAUUGGGAGGCUGAGGUGGGAGGAAUGCUUGAGGCCAGGAGUUCAAGACCAACCUAGCCGAUAUAGCAAGACCCCAUCUCUUAAAAAAAAAAAGAAAAAUCUGAUUGUGCCACUCUUCUGCUUAAAAUCCAAUGACUUCUCAUUAGAAUUCUUACUAACAAGGCUCUAUAUGGCAUGGUCUACACCCCAUGCUCCCCAUCUUUUUCUAGUACUCCAUGCACCUUGGGUCUUUUGUACAUGUUAUUAAUCUGCCUGGAUUACUGGGCUUCUCCUAGCCCUUCACACAGGUAGCUCCCUCACUUCCUUCAAGUCCUUACUCCAAAGAUAGUUUUUCAGUGAGGACUUCCUUGGCUACCUUAUUUAAAAUUUCAAAUGCCCUCCUCCCUUGAAUUUCUAUUUUUUUUUUCUGCUUUAUUUUUUCUUCUUAGCACUUAAGAACUUCACAGCUUAUUCCUUUACUUACUUCUUGCCUCUCUUGACAUAAGAAUAUUUACCCUUGGUUGGGUGUGGUAGCUCACAUUUGCAUCCCCAGCACUUUGGGAGGCAGGAGUUUGAGACUGGCCUGGGCAAUGUAGUGAAACCUUGCCUCUAUCGAAAAAAAAGUAAACUUAUGUCACUGUUUUUAAAUCUUUUAAAACAGCUUCAGAAGUGU